AUUGAACGCUGGCGGCAUGCCUUACACAUGCAAGUCGAACGGUAACAGGUCUUCGGAUGCUGACGAGUGGCGAACGGGUGAGUAAUACAUCGGAACGUGCCCGAUCGUGGGGGAUAACGAAGCGAAAGCUUUGCUAAUACCGCAUACGAUCUACGGAUGAAAGCAGGGGACCGCAAGGCCUUGCGCGAACGGAGCGGCCGAUGGCAGAUUAGGUAGUUGGUGGGAUAAAAGCUUACCAAGCCGACGAUCUGUAGCUGGUCUGAGAGGACGACCAGCCACACUGGGACUGAGACACGGCCCAGACUCCUACGGGAGGCAGCAGUGGGGAAUUUUGGACAAUGGGCGAAAGCCUGAUCCAGCCAUGCCGCGUGCAGGAUGAAGGCCUUCGGGUUGUAAACUGCUUUUGUACGGAACGAAAAGACUUCUUCUAAUAAAGGGGGUCCAUGACGGUACCGUAAGAAUAGGCACCGGCUAACUACGUGCCAGCCGCCGCGGUAAAAC
rnacentral:rRNA from 1 species